CGACAGGCUUAACACAUGCAAGUCGAGGGGCAGCACAGGUAGCAAUACCGGGUGGCGACCGGCGCACGGGUGAGUAACGCGUAUGCAACUUACCUAUCAGAGGGGGAUAACCCGGCGAAAGUCGGACUAAUACCGCAUGAAGCAGGGGCCCCGCAUGGGGAUAUUUGCUAAAGACUCAUCGCUGAUAGAUAGGCAUGCGUUCCAUUAGGCAGUUGGCGGGGUAACGGCCCACCAAACCGACGAUGGAUAGGGGUUCUGAGAGGAAGGUCCCCCACAUUGGUACUGAGACACGGACCAAACUCCUACGGGAGGCAGCAGUGAGGAAUAUUGGUCAAUGGCCGAGAGGCUGAACCAGCCAAGUCGCGUGAGGGAUGAAGGUUCUAUGGAUCGUAAACCUCUUUUAUAAGGGAAUAAAGUGCGGGACGUGUCCCGUUUUGUAUGUACCUUAUGAAUAAGGAUCGGCUAACUCCGUGCCAGCAGCCGCGGUAAUACGGAGGAUCCGAGCGUUAUCCGGAUUUAUUGGGUUUAAAGGGUGCGUAGGCGGCCUUUUAAGUCAGCGGUGAAAGUCUGUGGCUCAACCAUAGAAUUGCCGUUGAAACUGGGGGGCUUGAGUAUGUUUGAGGCAGGCGGAAUGCGUGGUGUAGCGGUGAAAUGCAUAGAUAUCACGCAGAACCCCGAUUGCGAAGGCAGCCUGCCAAGCCAUUACUGACGCUGAUGCACGAAAGCGUGGGGAUCAAACAGGAUUAGAUACCCUGGUAGUCCACGCAGUAAACGAUGAUCACUAGCUGUUUGCGAUACACUGUAAGCGGCACAGCGAAAGCGUUAAGUGAUCCACCUGGGGAGUACGCCGGCAACGGUGAAACUCAAAGGAAUUGACGGGGGCCCGCACAAGCGGAGGAACAUGUGGUUUAAUUCGAUGAUACGCGAGGAACCUUACCCGGGUUUGAACGCAUUCGGACCGAGGUGGAAACACCUUUUCUAGCAAUAGCCGUUUGCGAGGUGCUGCAUGGUUGUCGUCAGCUCGUGCCGUGAGGUGUCGGCUUAAGUGCCAUAACGAGCGCAACCCUUGCCACUAGUUACUAACAGGUGAUGCUGAGGACUCUGGUGGGACUGCCAGCGUAAGCUGCGAGGAAGGCGGGGAUGACGUCAAAUCAGCACGGCCCUUACAUCCGGGGCGACACACGUGUUACAAUGGCGUGGACAAAGGGAGGCCACCUGGCGACAGGGAGCGAAUCCCCAAACCACGUCUCAGUUCGGAUCGGAGUCUGCAACCCGACUCCGUGAAGCUGGAUUCGCUAGUAAUCGCGCAUCAGCCAUGGCGCGGUGAAUACGUUCCCGGGCCUUGUACACACCGUCCGUCAAGCCAUGGGAGCCGGGGGUACCUGAAGUCCGUAACCGAAAGGAUCGGCCUAGGGUAAAACUGGUGACUG
rnacentral:rRNA from 1 species